AUACGUAGGGGGCGAGCGUUGUCCGGAAUGAUUGGGUGUAAAGGGCGCGUAGGCGGCCCGGUAAGUCUGGAGUGAAAGUCCUGUUUUUAAGAUGGGAAUUGCUUUGGAUACUGUCGGGCUUGAGUGCAGGAGAGGUAAGUGGAAUUCCCAGUGUAGCGGUGAAAUGCGUAGAGAUUGGGAGGAACACCAGUGGCGAAGGCGACUUACUGGACUGUAACUGACGCUGAGGCGCGAAAGUGUGGGGAGCAAACAGGAUUAGAUACCCUGGUAGUCCACACUGUAAACGAGGAAUGCUAGGUGUAGGGGGUAUCGACCCCUUCUGUGCCGCAGUCAACACAAUAAGCAUUCCGCCUGGGGAGUACGGCCGCAAGGUUGAAACUCAAAUGAAUUGGCGGGG
rnacentral:rRNA from 1 species